CUUAGCUUCUGGUUUCAGACAGAGAUAGAAGGGUUUUGAACGGAAACGCCUUUCCCAAUUGCCUCCUCUUCUUCUUCUUCUUCUUCUUCUUCUUCUUCUUCUUCUUCUUCUACCAUUUUCGUCCACCUAGAGAUCACCUUACGGAUUAUAGGAACACCUCCUCUUUUGAGGUACAAUUCACUCAUUGUUUUCAUGUGUUUCAAUUCUCAUCUUGAUUAUAAAAAUCACCGUCUUUGAUAUCAAUCUACCCAUGAGGUUGUAAUUUCUGAAUCAGACUCCAGGCUACAUCCCAAACGUAAAUAGUACUAGGUGAAGAUCCGUGUAAAAGUAGCGGAAAAGUAUCUUAUUUGAUCUCUUUCAAUGUGUCUGAAAUGGCUAGGCCCUAAUGGGAUUUUGAAGCUUCAUUGUCAAAGGAUAAGGUAGUAACUGGUCCAGAUGAGCCACCUCAAAAAUUCCUUAUUUCCUCAAAACCUUCUAUGGUUUCUUCUCAAGAAUGUACUCACAAUGGAUUUUGAUUUGGUGGACAUGUUUGCAAGCUAUGAUGAGGUAAGUUGCGAGGAUGAUUUUAACUGAGAAUUCGUGAUUUACUGAGGAAAAAGGUGCAUGAUCAGAACACCAUAGAUAAAUCAACGGCUGGAAGUUGGUUACAUUCAAUGAAGCUAUUUCCCGUUUGUUACCGAUUCUCAUCUCAAUGCCCAAGAGAACCUUCCCACUACUCCCAAGAAUCCAUCAACUUUAAUUCAUUGUCUAUUUGUAUUGUGGUUAGUGAGGGAAUUAAAGCAGUUUGGAAUCUUUGGAUCAUAAUAGCUUCAAAAUCUACAUGGGUUGUAGUAAUAAAUCUAAUUGUGUUGGAAUAAUCGAUUUGACCCUCUCCUACCUCGAUAUCGGUAGUUAACCCUAAUCCAAUUUCAUUUACCGACUUGAUAAAUUUUCAUUCAUUUUAUUUCAAGCCGUAUCUCUUCUUCUCACUUAUGUUUUACAUAUUCCAAAACCAAAAUACAGAAAACCAAAAGAAACUUAUUAUUCGAUUUUCUCCAUCUCGCCACAGCAACCAUGGUUGGACUAAAGACACAGGUACUGGUGGGAAUCAGAAACCUAGCUGGGGUGAAGCAAUAACCAUGAAGAUGCUUGGAAUAAAUCAAAGGAGCUCUAGAUGAUCAUGAACUCAGUUUUCUUUAGGCGUGGAUAAAUGUACCAACUGUUCUUUUCUCUGUCUAUGUGUAGUUUGUUACGUUUGGAUCUUUGGUGGACCUGUCACUAGAUUUGUUAAUUGAUGAUUGUUGUUGUGUUCUUAUAACCUAAUUAUGUUUAUGGAGCUUAGCAAUAUUACUACACAAGCAAGCAUAUAGUAUGCUGGUUCGUGGACUGCUGUAACACCUGUACAACCUUAUUUCGUACGUCCAUGACCCUCAAGUUUUAGGUUCCGCUACCUUUCUUAGUCUUGCAUAAGAUAUUUCACUUGAUAGAACCUAUGGAGUAUCUGUUGUUGAAUUUUUUUUUUCUCUGCAAAUAACCUUGGAUGCGACACCAAAGAAGGCAGUGAUUGGCUCAUUCUCAGAGAACUAAGGCAACAGGGUCUUUUGAUCAUAUCAAAUAUUGAGUACAGGUACUCGGUUUCACUAAAAUGAGUCUUAUUUGUUUGGGUACUUCCUCAUGCACAUUAAUAUGGUGGCAGGGGACUUGGCUGAUUCGUCUAUCUGCUUUCUAUGUUGUUGAUGACCGAGGAGCAAACACUGCUAUAGUAGCGCAGUGCUAGAGAAAGAACAUUGUCGUGAACUAUAUAUAUCCAGAGGAAAAAACUGCAGAUUUAUGAAAAGGAACCACACAUAACACCAACUGCAAGCAUGUUGUCAAUGUAAAAAUCUUAGUUCUCAAUUAAUUGUUUUAUUAUUAAGCUUCAUUGCAUGUGUCAAAUUAGUUAGUUGGGUAUUUAAUAAAAUUUAUAUAUUUGAUACCA